UUUAAUGUUCAUCUUUGAAGCAUCAUAUUAAAAGUAUUUUAAAUUAUUUCUAUUAUAUUGUGAUCAGGUUAAAAUAUGAACUCUAUUACUAACCAAUAAAUAUAAAAGAUUUUUAAUAUGUCUUAUGACACUCGUUAUAAUAACAAAACAAUUGCAAUAGCAAAUUUAUCUUAAAUAAUUACAAAAAAACUAUAUGGUUGACAGAUAUUUAAAAACUAAACUA
rnacentral:lncRNA from 1 species